UACGGAGGGUGCAAGCGUUGUCCGGAAUCAUUGGGCGUAAAGGGCGCGUAGGUGGCCACUUCAAGCGUGCGGUGAAAGUCGGGGGCUCAACCCCUGAUCGGCCGUGCGAACUGGGGGGCUGGAGCACUGUAGAGGCAGGCGGAAUUCCGGGUGUAGCGGUGGAAUGCGUAGAGAUCCGGAAGAACACCGGUGGCGAAGGCGGCCUGCUGGGCAGUUUUGCUGACACUGAGGCGCGACAGCGUGGGGAGCAAACAGG
rnacentral:rRNA from 1 species